CAGGGCAAAGGACACGAUCAAGGGAUCGGGAUCGCCUUAUUUCUCGCACGCCCAGAUGACGCGGACAAGUCUCCGACACUCUCAUUUGUAGGCACCUUGCUGGCUCACUCAUGGAGGAACACAUAAUCCUGAAGCUUCUCCUAUAUAAAGCAUCUCACAUCCUUUUCUUUACCUUUUUACAACCUCAAAGAAUCCAAUAUAUAUAUAUAUAUAUAUAUCUUUUUAUUAUUGUUGUUGAUGAAGACUGACGGACUCAUCCGUGAAAUCCCGGGACGUAAGCAGCAAUGAAUUCGAGGAACGAUGUGGAGAACAGCGCGAGCGUGAGGAAGCCAUUCCUGGGAUCAACCAAUGCUCGAGAAAGCUCUCUCUUUGUUUUGGUCUGCGUCCUCAUAGUUGCGUUGGGUCCUUUCCAGUUCGGUAUCACGUGCGCGUAUUCUUCUCCAACUCAAGUGAAUAUAAUUAGAGAUCUAAAUCUCUCAAUCUCAAGGUUCUCUAUAUUUGGAUCACUGUCGAACGUGGGUGCCAUGGUGGGAGCAACAUCCAGUGGUCAAAUAGCAGAUUACUAUGGGCGUAAGGGGUCCCUGAUGAUAGCUGCCAUCCCAAAUGUCAUAGGAUGGCUAGCCAUUUCUAUGGCCGGUGAAUCAUCGCUUCUAUUCCUGGGGAGACUGUUGGAAGGUUUUGGUGUCGGAAUAAUAUCUUAUGUGGUACCUGUCUAUAUAGCAGAGGUAUCACCUCGAACCAUGAGAGGUAGCCUUGGAUCUGUGAACCAGCUUUCAAUUCAGAUAGGAAUAAUGAUAACUUAUCUGGUGGGGCUUUUUGUCAACUGGAGAGUGUUAGCAGCUCUUGGAAGUUUGCCUUGUGCUAUUUUAAUACCUGGGUUAUUGUUCAUUCCCGAAUCUCCUAGAUGGUUGGCCGGAAUGGGGAUGAAAGAAAAGUUUGAGGCUUCGUUACAAGUUCUUCGAGGACCUCAUGCUGAUAUUACGAUGGAAGCUCGAGAAAUCCAAGAAUCACUGUCGUCCACCGACAAAACAGAAACAGUCCAGUUAGCAGAUCUUAAGAGAAGAAGAUAUUGGUUUCCUUUAACGGUAGGGGUCGGAUUGCUUGUGCUUCAGCAAUUAACUGGUAUGACGGGAGUUUUCUUCUAUUCUAGCAAGAUCUUUGCAACCGCAGGGAUUACGUCCAGUGAUGGUGUUACAUUUGGAUUUGGGGUUAUUCAGUUAGAUGCGCAGGUGGUGAUGUCCGGGUUCACUGUGUGGCUGGUGGACAAAACUGGGCGGAGGGUGCUUCUGACGGUAUCAUCCAUUCUGAUGACACUUAGCCUCGUUGUUAUUUCUACAGCAUUCUUCAUGGAGGGAGUCAUAUCAAACGAUUCUGACCUACAAAAAGUUCUGGGGAUGCUCAGUGCCGGGGGGGGUUGUGGCUAUGGGCGUUGGUUAUUCUCUAGGCAUGGGACCGCUGCCCUGGCUUCUGAUGUCUGAGAUACUUCCACCGGAUAUUAAGGGCCUUGCUGGAAGCUUGGCCACAUUUUUAAAUUGGUUCACUGCGUGGGGGAUCACCAUGACCGCCAACUUGCUCUUAAAUUGGAGCAGUGCAGGGACUUUCGCCAUUUAUGCAGUUUUCUCCUUCUUUGCGGUUGCUUUUGUCAAACUUUGGGUUCCUGAGACCAAGGAAAAAACUUUGGAAGAAAUUCAGGCAGCGUUUAUCGGAUGAUUUCUAUUUUGAUAAGGUUGAUAAAUUUGUGAUGUGUAGUUUUCCGUUCUCAAGGUUUGCUCGGAUAUACAUUGCAUUGUUGAAUUCUGUUGGGAUUAGAUUAUUUAGAAGGAUAAAUAGGAGAACAUCGGCUCAUAAAAGAGCGUUUUCUACUUUCUAUACAAAUUCUUUAAGUCAGUCAAAUUCAGAUCUAACUCUCUCUUUCUUUA